GACGAACGCUGGCGGCGUGCUUAACACAUGCAAGUCGAGCGAUGAAGCUUCUUCGGAAGUGGAUUAGCGGCGGACGGGUGAGUAACACGUGGGUAACCUGCCUCAUAGAGGGGAAUAGCCUUCCGAAAGGAAGAUUAAUACCGCAUAAGAGUGUAAUAUCGCAUGAUAUAGCAAUUAAAGGAGUAAUCCGCUAUGAGAUGGACCCGCGUCGCAUUAGCUAGUUGGUGAGGUAACGGCUCACCAAGGCGACGAUGCGUAACCGACCUGAGAGGGUGAUCGGCCACAUUGGGACUGAGACACGGCCCAGACUCCUACGGGAGGCAGCAGUGGGGAAUAUUGCACAAUGGGGGAAACCCUGAUGCAGCAACGCCGCGUGAGUGAUGACGGUCUUCGGAUUGUAAAGCUCUGUCUUUAGGGACGAUAAUGACGGUACCUAAGGAGGAAGCCACGGCUAACUACGUGCCAGCCGCCGCGGUAAAAC
rnacentral:rRNA from 1 species